rnacentral:rRNA from 1 species
CAAUAGCGUAUAUUAAAGUUGUUGCAGUUAAAAAGCUCGUAGUUGGAUUUCUGGUGGGAGCGAUCGGUCUGGCGCUUAGCGCGAGUACUUGCAUCGUCUCCGGCCAUCCUUGGGGAGUGUCUGUCUGGCAUUAGGUUGUCGGGCAGAGGAUCCUCAUCGUCUACUGUGAAAAAAUUAGAGUGUUCAAAGCAGGCUUAUGCCGUUGAAUAUAUUAGCAUGGAAUAAUAAGAUAGGACUUUGGUACUAUUUUGUUGGUUUGCGCACCAAAGUAAUGAUUAAUAGGGACAGUUGGGGGUAUUCGUAUUCCGUUGUCAGAGGUGAAAUUCUUGGAUUUACGGAAGACGAACUACUGCGAAAGCAUUUACCAAGGAUGUUUUCAUUAA